ACGACGAGACGAUGCCCGCGACCACAUCUCCUCUCCUCUCAAGUAGGUUUUCAUAGUUAUGAUUUCUCUGUCUCACUCUCAUCUGGAUCUCUGUGGAUGGCUUUCUCUCAACCUCU